rnacentral:pre_miRNA from 1 species
UUUUUAGUAUUUAAGUAUGUCCUAUGCAAUAUCUAGGAUAUAUUUAUACUAAAA